rnacentral:rRNA from 1 species
GGGAAUCUACCCAUCUCUGCGGAAUAGCUCCGGGAAACUGGAAUUAAUACCGCAUACGCCCUACGGGGGAAAGAUUUAUCGGGGAUGGAUGAGCCCGCGUUGGAUUAGCUAGUUGGUGGGGUAAAGGCCUACCAAGGCGACGAUCCAUAGCUGGUCUGAGAGGAUGAUCAGCCACAUUGGGACUGAGACGCGGCCCAAACUCCUACGGGAGGCAGCAGUGGGGAAUAUUGGACAAUGGGCGCAAGCCUGAUCCAGCCAUGCCGCGUGAGUGAUGAAGGCCUUAGGGUUGUAAAGCUCUUUCACCGAUGAAGAUAAUGACGGUAGUCGGAGAAGAAGCCCCGGCUAACUUCGUGCCAGCAGCCGCGGUAAUACGAAGGGGGCUAGCGUUGUUCGGAAUUACUGGGCGUAAAGCGCACGUAGGCGGAUAUUUAAGUCAGGGGUGAAAUCCCAGAGCUCAACUCUGGAACUGCCUUUGAUACUGGGUAUCUUGAGUAUGGAAGAGGUAAGUGGAAUUGCGAGU